AUGCGCCCCUCGUACCUUCCGGUUGCUCCGCGCCGUCCGCACCCACCUGGCGACCGCUCGCUACCUGUUGGUAGCC
rnacentral:sRNA from 1 species